AUACCUGUAAGAUUUACAUUGGUUCGAUCUGGAAGGAUGGGACAACUCAAAGCAAGCAGGGUUCCAGGUCAUAGAAAGAAAUGUCUGGAUUAUGAUAAGGGGUUGUGGAGAACAAGGUUUUAUCAUGCAGAUGAAGCCUUUAAGUAGCAGGCUUCAAAGGUAAUAGAUUGUAAAUGCUGGUUGAAUUUUCCUGAAUUCCAAAAGGGAGGAUGGUAUAAUGAGAUAUGUUCAAACCUGCUUCCCAUCAUGGCCUGAACUACUCUUUCAGGUUAACUUUGCAAUGCCCUCGGCCAAAAGGAGAGGUCCUUUCAGAUAACUGAGAGGCCUUAGAAUGUUAUUUCUGGUUUACAGUGUUAUCAGUUUGGAAACUGCAUCUCAAGCAUGGACCACAGGUGCUCUCUCUUUGAAGAGGGGGAAGGACAGGUUGGGUUUUUUACCUCACAGGUCCUGAAUCACACAAUAGAGAGAGACAAACGUCUUCAGGAGGUUUGGGGAAAAGCUGUACCUAUUCCCGAGGGGAGCCAAGCACAUUCACAAUGGGUAAACAUAUAUGUAACAUACGUCCCAUGCUCACUUUGGGGUGGGUGUUAGCAUUAAAGUGAGGUGGAAUUUGGGUCUUUAUUUCAAAAGGGGUGAACUAUAGACACAAAGACAGUUUGUAUGCAGUCUCUAGAAGCUGCUGAAACUGGCUUAAGAUCUGCAGUCGCUUAUCAGGAAAGAGCAUCAGUGAGGCCAGUCCUCUGUCCAUUCAGAGCUGCAGUGACCUGGGUUGUAAAUCAGGGUUAAGAGGGAUCUGAUCAUUUGCCUGCUAGCUCCCAUUCUUAGAGAAUUUAACAAAAGUGUGGGUUUCUUGUAGCCAUAGGAAUUUAGGAAGAUGCCAUGCCAGCCAAGCUGAACCCUCCAGCCAUCAUUAACUUUUGUUUCCUUAACCUUAGUGUCCAUCAUGGUUGAUGAAGGGGAGUCUGUUUUGGUCUCUCAGAUCACAGUUCUUACUGAGUUUCCAUAGGUUUCAUUGAAUAAAUGGUUCUCAGCUUGCUAUAUAUAGUUGUCAAUUAGUUAUAAUCCCUUGAUUAGACCCCCAAUGAUGUUGAAUGAUGUAUAUGCUAAUCUUACCAACUUAAUAUAUGUUUCUCCAUGGGAGAAGUUUCCCUGAGCCCCGCAUACCAUAAUUGUUGACUGCAUUUUGUCUUUAUUAUGAUUUCCUUAUGGCACCUUUUAAUAGAGUAAGAUUAAUAAAAGCCAGAAGCAUUUGCAAUAACAUUUUUAAUGUUACUAUAUAAAGCCUUUAUCUCAUCCAUCUGGGCCACUGCUUCUGGCAUUUACUUUCCUAAAUUGUUACAAUUUCCCCCAAUCCAACACACAAACCCACAUCAACUCCUGAUAUUUGUAAGCCCUUGUGUUGUAUUCCCUGUGUAAUUUGAAUCUUCUCCUGCUCCAGCUGUGUCUUGUCUCUACUUGGGGUACAAUUAAUAGCAGAGCCAGUCAUGUCCUACCAGCAUUCCUUUUAUACAGGCUGGAUAUAUGUGUCAUUGACUAACAACAUCAACAAUGAAAUGAAUCUGAGAAAACAGGAAAUUGAGAGCAAGAGAAAAAAAAGUUAAUUAUACUGAUUUUGUAUAAGACCCCUUUGAACACAUUUUUAAAAAAUCAAAUAGAAGGUGCCCAGGUCCACUGUGCCUUGUGAAUAUUUGUCUUGUAUAUCCUAGAGAUCUACGCAUUCAUGUGGGAAUUGAAAAGGACCCACAUUUUACUAGAAGCAUCGUUCAUUUUUGCCUCAAAACAAUGCCCACAUGUCAGAAGAACUUUCACAAUUCACAGGAACAGUGACCUAAUUAACCAACCAUAAAAUUGCCAAAUCCCUACUUCUCAUUGUUUAAUAUGCUUAGAAAACCCAUUCAAAUUGUGAAUUAUCAAGUGAGCUUACACUGAUAAAUAGAUCCAAUAUUUAGGAAUUUUUAAAUCUUCCAUUCCUUUUUUUUUUUUGUCUUUUUAAAAAUAGAACAUUAGAAUAUGUCCUCCAGGUUUUAGAGAUGGGGGAGACAUGCUUCCCUUUAUUUCUCAGUAACUCAGCCAAAAAAAAUCUGGAGAGAAUGCAAAGACAGCUACUGGAAACUUUGAAAAGUAGAUGUGAGCCCAUCAGGGAAGAGCUAGAGAAUCUGAAAUCUACUCGAAAAAGUGAGUUUGAUACUUUGUGUUCCUAUCCUAACUCCACACAGCCUGAAACUUGGAAGUGAGCAUGAUGGAGUGGAUACAGUGAGAUGCAGAAGAAAUCCUCCAGUUUGGGCUGGAAGGGAAAAAAGAGACCCCUAAAACUCAGAGACAGUGGAAGAAAUUCCUGGUGUUUUUUUCUUCUCUUUUUCUCUGUUCUUCCACAUAGCAAUUUAGUAUUGACUACAGCAUCUCUGUUACAAUGAUAGCACCGAAAUGUUGUAACCAUAUGGCCUGCAAAGCCAAAAAUACUUAUCUGACCAUCUACAGGAAAAGUUUGCUGAUCUGGAUGAAAUAUUCUGAUACUAAAUAUUCCAUUUUGAGGCUGAUAUUCCUAAUCUAUUCAUAAGGAUGGCAUAUCUACCCAGUGGGCCUGCUGGGACUCCAGUUACCCGAUGCACAUACAUUGCUUGGUGGUCAGUAAAUAUUAUUUUGCUUUCUUUAUUCCUUUGUGGAAAAAUUUCAGGUAGAGAAGAAACCUGAAAUAAUUUGAAGAACUUUAAAAUUUUUUUCACCCACUAAUUUAUAUUCUCAUUAGCAAAAAGAACCGAAUAUUGGUAGCUCUAUACUUUAUAAUAAAGAUGUGGAACUUCUUGAUUACUCUUUCCUUCUUCUACGUUGACUCAUUCUAUCACUAUUAAUUCACUCAGGAAAUGCUGAUUGAGCAGCUCCUUUGUAUAGAUGUUAAUAGCACGGUUCUCGCCAUAGGUCACAGAGGUUGGUUUGCUGAGCAACUCUGAGAACCCGUUUUUAAGUUCCCUGACUCUCCUAUUCACUGGAAUGGAAUGCCUUGCUGUCUGGGCCCUCCUUGCUUCACCUUCCAAUGAACUGAAAUCAUCACACUGAUCCUAUUGUAGCGGAGAGUGGUGUGUUAAAACCAUAACCAUAACCCCGUCUGGAGACCAGCCUCAGCUCUGUCGCUUUCUUAUCUCUUCAGAUGCAGCAGAUAGUUACCUCUAACUUUUAGUUUGCCUCAGACAUUAAGAAUAAAAUCAUAUUCAGCAUAAUUUAGGUGUCAUUCUCCACAUUCCACUGGUGCUAACAAACAUUUUUGUAUUGUUCCCAUGUGUCAACAAUAGCAAUCUGUGGCUCAUUAUAAGUGACAGCAAAUGUCAACAAGCCUGCCUCCUGGAGAUUUGUUUGUAAAGAUUCCUUAUCAGUUGUUGUUAUUUAUACCCCUGGCUUCUAUCGUCAUUGAUUAUUCUAUAUAUUUUCCUCCUUCAAGUGAAUGUACAAAGAGACCAAGAAAACCUCAGUCAAACUUGGAAAUUUCCUUUGUAAUAUUCUUUUUAAAGUUAGUUAUGUGGCAGUUUCGUGUGCAUUUUUGGUGAUGAUGCUCCACGGAACAUCUGCAGAUGUGCUGUCAAUUUGGACAGCUCUGACUACCGAGUGAAUGGGAAGUACUAACGAGAACUGUCUGCUUGGGAACUCCAUGAAGUUCGUGGCUUUUGUGAUUGAAAUAGCAUCAAUAAAAGGUUGACACUGUGGAACAACACAAGCCUGCAUGGACCUGGUUAUCUCUGACCUCGCACCACUCAUGAGACCAUACCUGAGCCCUACUCCACUUUGGCAGAACUGUUGCAUGGCCUCUCUUCAUAUAAUACCUCUCCGUACACCGUACACCGCAGCUCAAAGAAAGGAUAUAUGCUCCCUGUGAAGACUAAUGGAACUGUCCCUCCUGAUCCUCCUACAGACUUCCUCUGGCCUAAUGGGUGCACCAUUGCAUUAUAUCUGCCAUCUAUACACACAUAUACCUUUCAACCCUGCACUCUCUGAGAUGACUGGACUCAUGCCUAAAUAACUGAUGCUGUCCCUAGUGUAAGGUAAGCACUCAAUAGUUUCUCAGGAAAUGAAUAUGAUAAAUAUUUUGGCUGUUUAGAGGCUUUCCUUCACUUCAUUUUCUGUGUCCUCUUAUUUAAAAAGAAGUGCUCACUA